GACGAACGCUGGCGGCGUGCCUAACACAUGCAAGUCAACUUGACUGAAGGAGCAAUCUGACAGUAGAGUGGCGCAAGGGUGCGUAACGCGUAAGUAACUUGCCCAAGGUAAGGAAUAACGUCGAGAAAUCGGCGCUAGUACCUCAUAAUGCAGCGGAUCCGCAUGGAUAUGUUGUUAAAGGUUACCGCCUUGGGAUAGGCUUGCGUCUGAUUAGCUAGUUGGUGUGGUAACGGCACACCAAGGCUACGAUCAGUAACUGGUCUGAGAGGAUGAUCAGUCACACUGGAACUGAGACACGGUCCAGACUCCUACGGGAGGCAGCAGUGAGGAAUAUUGGGCAAUGCUCGAAAGAGUGACCCAGCAACGCCGCGUGGAGGAUGAAGGUAUUCUAUAUCGUAAACUCCUGUGAGAGCAGACGAAAGACAGAUUAUUAAUCUGGAUGACUGUAUGCUCAGAGGAAGCCCCGG
rnacentral:rRNA from 1 species